rnacentral:rRNA from 1 species
UGCUUAACACAUGCAAGUCGAACGGCAGCAUGGUCUAGCUUGCUAGACUGAUGGCGAGUGGCGAACGGGUGAGUAACGCGUAGGAAUAUACCUUAAAGAGGGGGAUAACUUGGGGAAACUCAGGCUAAUACCGCGUAAUCUCUGAGGAGAGAAGCUGGGGACCUUCGGGCCUGGCGCUUUAAGAAUAGCCUGCGUCCGAUUAGCUAGUUGGUGGGGUAAGGGCUUACCAAGGCGACGAUCGGUAGCUGGUCUGAGAGGAUGGCCAGCCACACUGGGACUGAGACACGGCCCAGACUCCUACGGGAGGCAGCAGUGGGGAAUAUUGGACAAUGGGGGGAACCCUGAUCCAGCAAUGCCGCGUGUGUGAAGAAGGCCUGAGGGUUGUAAAGCACUUUCAGUGGGGAGGAGAUUUUGGUUGGUUAAGAGCUGACUAGGAGGACGUUACCCACAGAAGAAGCACCGGCUAACUCCGUGCCAGCAGCCGCGGUAAUACGGAGGGUGCGAGCGUUAAUCGGAAUUACUGGG